rnacentral:rRNA from 1 species
CAGCAGUCGCCGCGGUAAUACGAAGGGGGCUAGCGUUGUUCGGAAUUAUUGGGCGUAAAGGGCUCGCAGGCGGUUUCUUAAGUCUGAUGUGAAAGCCCCCGGCUCAACCGGGGAGGGUCAUUGGAAACUGGGAAACUUGAGUGCAGAAGAGGAGAGUGGAAUUCCACGUGUAGCGGUGAAAUGCGUAGAGAUGUGGAGGAACACCAGUGGCGAAGGCGACUCUCUGGUCUGUAACUGACGCUGAGGAGCGAAAGCGUGGGGAGCGAACGGGAUUAGAGACCCCCGUAGUCCCUGUCUCUUAUAC